GGGCUGCGGGCGGCCGUGACCCUGCUGGAGCCCGGGGGCACCUCCAGCCCCCCGGGGGCUCCCUGCGCCUCCUCUGCCGCGGCUCCGGCUUCGAUUUUGGACAAUUUGGGAUGGGCUGGAUGCGCCAGAGGCCCGGGCAGGGGCUGGAAUACGUCGCCAGUACCAACACUGGUGGCAGCACCGACUACGCGUCCUCAGUCAAGGGCCGGUUCAGGAUCUCGAGGGACAACGGGCAGAGCUCGGUGACGCUGACCAUGAACAGCCUCAAGGACGAGGAUUCCGGCUCCUAUUUCUGUGCCAAAUAUGCUGCUGGUGGUUAUUGGGGUAAUGCUGCUGCUGCUUUUCGUUUUGACCCCAUCCCUGUCUCUGUGUCCCCCCUGUCCCCGUGCCCCAGGCCCUUCCCUCCAACCCCUGACCCCUCUCCUCACCCUUUCUCCCACCCUUGCCCUGCUCUGGCCCCAAAUCUCAGCUCCUGGCCCCAAAUCAGGGCCGGUUCCACGCUCAGCUCAGCCUCGGCCCCCAAAUCCCAACCGUUGCCCCCAGACUUGUCCAGUUUUACCCCAAAUCUCCCCUGCUGGCACCGAGUCACAGCCACAGACCCAAAUCUGGCCCGUUGGCCUCACAUCGGGACUGUUGGGCCAAAAUUUAAAAUCUUGACACCAUAA